rnacentral:rRNA from 1 species
GAUGAACGCUGGCGGCGUGCUUAACACAUGCAAGUCGAACGGUGAACACGGAGCUUGCUCUGUGGGAUCAGUGGCGAGCGGGUGAGUAACACGUGAGCAACCUGCCCCUGACUCUGGGAUAAGCGCUGGAAACGGCGUCUAAUACUGGAUAUGUGACGUGACCGCAUGGUCUGCGUUUGGAAAGAUUUUUCGGUUGGGGAUGGGCUCGCGGCCUAUCAGCUUGUUGGUGAGGUAAUGGCUCACCAAGGCGUCGACGGGUAGCCGGCCUGAGAGGGUGACCGGCCACACUGGGACUGAGACACGGCCCAGACUCCUACGGGAGGCAGCAGUGGGGAAUAUUGCACAAUGGGCGCAAGCCUGAUGCAGCAACGCCGCGUGAGGGAUGACGGCCUUCGGGUUGUAAACCUCUUUUAGCAGGGAAGAAGCGAAAGUGACGGUACCUGCAGAAAAAGCGCCGGCUAACUACGUG